GGCGGAAGCGGCAGCAGACCAGCCUGCCACUCCACUGACCUCAGGAACUAAAUGAGUCCCAUUCACCUCAGGAACUAAAUGAGAAAGUUUUCCAAUAGACAUUCAAAACCACCACCAAAUGAGACCCACUUCUCACUGCAUAUUUGACCAACAGAUGGGAGCUGUGAGAUGGCUGCCCUGCCUACCAGAGGCUACAGGACACCUCCACCACUGCUGUAAGGAAGAGAGAUGCCAGGUCAGGUAAGUGUCUCCAUCAAAUUUCACCACACGUACAAAUAUUUGAUCAAUGAACUACUGUUUAUUUGAAGUAACCAUUUACCAGAAUACUGAAAAAACAGAUGGGGGAAAUGAAGAUAAGAAAGGGGUGACUGGCAUCCUGCAAACACUUAUACAUGCCAUCAGUUUUAUGCACAAGUAAUCCUAUUGAACUCAAGUGGACUAUGUGUGUGUGUACACACUUGCUGGACUGGGGUUUCUAUAAUAAUUGUAUAGUAUAUUUGAAAUUGCCUUAGCAUUAUAUAUAAACUAUUAGCAGUUCUUGAAGAAAAAAUUGUGCUGGGUCAUUCUUCACGUUUUCUAUACAGUCAUUUACAGUGCAAGUAGUGAACUUCAGACUAGCUGGAGAAAUAAAAUUUAGACAAAACAUUAGUACCUUUUAAACUCUGCUAAUACUACUUUGCAUUUUUGUUGCUUUUUCUUGUUUCUUUGACAUCACAAAAGUAUCCUAAAAUAUUUAAAUUGUUUGUAUUGCCUUAUAUAAAUACACAAAUUGAAUUCAAGAAAUAUAUUCCUAGCCAAAUAUUGUCAUUUAUUAUUAUUCAGAAUGUGGCAGCACCCAGAAGCUUCAACCAAGACUAGUUCCCCAUUGUGCUAAGAAAUUUAUAAAUACGUAGGAAGUCUGAGACCCUACCUCAAGGAAUUUAUACUCUACAGGCUCUAUCCUGUGCCAGCUGAAGUCAAUGCAAAAUUCCCACUAUUUUCAGUGGUGCAGGAUGCAAAGGUCAUUGCAGGAUCAAGGUCUGAAACUCAAUCCACUCAUUUGAACCAUAUAGUAGUCACCAUUACCUCUGCAAGUAAUUCAUGUUUCUGUGAUAUUCACAGUAUCCCUUUGAAUACUAACUACAGGGAAUACUAUGGACAUUGUGGUAUAAAUCUACUUGGAAAAGCCUCAUAAAACACGUUGUACUGGAAAUGUUGAGGGGGCAAUGUGUGGUAGGCUGGACUCUCUGCUGAUUGUGGGAUGACUGCUAAUGAAAUAAGUAUGUGCUGGGAUUGAUUUCAUUUCAGGUGGUGGAGGUGGGGGGAAAUGACUGGAUUCUGAGGUGACGUGCAAGGUGAUACAAAUAAUUCUCCUGAGGCUCAUCUAGACUCCCUUGUUCAUAGCCUCUGUACCAUUUUCAGAAAAAUGUCUGGAGUUUGAGGACACUCACUACAAUGCAGGAUCAGACCCCUAGUUGUAGUUAAAAGUGAUUCCACACAAAGCUCAUUGCAUGAUUUUUCAGUGUUUUAUGAAAAGAUUUUAUUAUAAUAGCUGUAGAUUUAACAAUGAGAAUCUAAAUUGCAAAUGGACAAUAAAAAAUGUUUUUCUGACCAAC